rnacentral:lncRNA from 1 species
UGUAAUUUCUCUUUUUUUAAGAGAGUGGCUCUGCUUUUAUUCAUCAAAUUGUCAUGAUAGUGAGAUUAUUUUUCCUUGGGAGAUCAUUUAUUUUAAAUUGGAGGAUGAAUAAACUUUGCAGAAUCUAUUACUUGGUUGGGAUUGUCUUAGUUUUGAGUGGGAUUUUUUAAAUUCAUUGUUUUCUCUAUUCAGCAAUUUAGAUUUUUUUCUUUGUUAGAUCUAAGUUGGCAGUAUAUUUUCUAGGUUGGAAAGUGGAAAAUGAGAUACAUUAUAAUAAUAAUAAACUUAUUAGUUUUUGAAUUUUUGAAGAGUCUCA